rnacentral:rRNA from 1 species
UACGGAGGAUGCAAGCGUUAUCCGGAAUGAUUGGGCGUAAAGCGUCCGCAGGUGGCUGUGUAAGUCUGCUGUCAAAGAGCAAAGCUCAACUUUGUAAAGGCAGUGGAAACUACACGGCUAGAGUGCGUUCGGGGCAGAGGGAAUUCCUGGUGUAGCGGUGAAAUGCGUAGAGAUCAGGAAGAACACCGGUGGCGAAGGCGCUCUGCUAGGCCGUAACUGACACUGAGGGACGAAAGCUAGGGGAGCGAACGGG